GUGGGGAAUAUUGGACAAUGGGCGCAAGCCUGAUCCAGCCAUGCCGCGUGAGUGAUGAAGGCCUUAGGGUUGUAAAGCUCUUUCACCGGUGAAGAUAAUGACGGUAACCGGAGAAGAAGCCCCGGCUAACUUCGUGCCAGCAGCCGCGGUAAUACGAAGGGGGCUAGCGUUGUUCGGAAUUACUGGGCGUAAAGCGCACGUAGGCGGACCAUUAAGUCAGGGGUGAAAUCCCGGAGCUCAACUCCGGAACUGCCUUUGAUACUGGUGGUCUAGAGACCGAGAGAGGUAAGUGGAACUCCUAGUGUAGAGGUGGAAUUCGUAGAUAUUAGGAAGAACACCAGUGGCGAAGGCGGCUUACUGGCUCGGAACUGACGCUGAGGUGCGAAAGCGUGGGGAGCAAACAGGAUUAGAAACCCCAGUAGUCC
rnacentral:rRNA from 1 species